rnacentral:lncRNA from 1 species
GGGUACCCCCGAUCAACGCCUCCCGCCUCGAGCAGACGAGCAAGGCCGUCCGCUGGCUUGUCCUCGAGCUCCAGCGCGGUGCCGGGUCCGCUACCCCCUCCGCUGCUACCCCGGCUCCCGCCGCCGCUACUCCUUCCUCCUCCUCUGUGGCACCCUCUGACGCCAGGUUUUCCGAAGGUCCGAUCCGCUAGGUGCGUGUUUUUUUUUUUAAUUGCAUUUUUUUGAGCCUUCUGGUUAUCAUUUUUCAUUUAUGAUGGCUGAGGAGUCUCUAAAGUUUGUUUUGUUUUCAAAAGGAGACGUUUUUAUCGGAAGUUUAGUAUUUACUAGGGUUUAAGGGAAUACUCCAGCAAAUUGAGUCUCAUUUGAUUGAUUACUGUAGCGUUGGCGCAGUUGUAGGCCUCCAUUUCUUAUUAUAUUAGUACCAAUUUAAUUCUAUGAUGUCAGAUGCGGCAUGAUCAUGCUGUGUAUGGGUUGAUUUAGGCCAUUCAGGGUAGCUGUAUAAUGUAAAACUAGCAAGUAACCCACGCUAUACAGUGGGCCAAAAAAGCUCAAUAAAAAAAAAAGAACAUAAUGAUAAUGUAAAGUAAUUAAUAAAUUUUGAUUUAAAGUAUAUAUUUUUUUAUCCAAAAAUUUAUUACGGUUCUAUUUCUUAUUUCUCAAAAUAUAUUGUUAUCUAAUACAAAAUUAUACAAUACAUUUUAAUAAAAUUAGUCAAUAAAAUAAUCUAUUGGUUAUUUCUUGGAGAUAUCAAAGCAGUGUGGAAAUAUCUGUUAAAUACAUAUGAACAGUCCAAAAGAGGGAAUAAAUCCAAGUUAAAAUUUUAUCAUUUAGCAGAAAAAAUAUUAUAUAGCUAUUUAAGAGAAAGUCCGAAUAUGUUCAAUAAUUUCUACAUCACAAAAAAGAUUUAAUAUAUUCUCCACAAUAUCUGCAUUUAAAAGGCAAGGAAAAAGAUAGAUUCUAUGCUGAAUUUUCUCCCACUGAUGAUUCGGCAUCCAUACAAAGCAGUUUCUUAUAUCUAUUAACCUCCUCUUGCAAUGCAUCGUAAUCAUUUUUUCAAAUAUCUAUAUUUAUUGAUGGUCAAAUCAUAAGUUUGUUUCAAGGUUCUAUGUCUGGAAACGAGAUCAUCAUAAGCUGCAUUGAUUCUUCGAUACUAAUAUUUAUAGUAUUCUUUGUCUUCGUAAUUAUGAUCAUCGACUUCAAAUCCAAAAACAUCUAAAAAUUUUAUCGCUUUUUCCGUCGUAUUUUCUUCGGAUUUAAUCCGCACCCUCCCUAUCCGUCCCCAUAUCAUCGUAUGCUCAAAUGGAUCAUCCUCAUAUUCCUCAUCUGGUUCAAGAGCAAUCUGAACAUAAGCUUUGAGAAAAUCAGAAUACUGCAAUUUGAAACCAUAUUGCGGUGACAUAAGCUCUAAUUUUGCCAUGAUUUCUUACAAUAUGAUCUUUGAAGAAAUUUAAAUUAAGUUUAUUUAUGCAAUUACAAUAAAUAUGAAAUUAGUAUCAGAAUAAUAUAUUAUACCUAAUUUUAUCAAAAUAAAAUUAAAUAAAUUAUGAAUAAUAAUAAAAAAGCAUACAUUAUUAAAUUCAAUCAAAUCCUAUAUGUAUGCAUGUGUGUAUAUGUAUGUAUGAAUGCAUAUCCAAAUGCUUAAUACAAAACCAAGUGAAACAUAAAAAAAAAAGAAGAAAAAGAACUGACUGUUAUAAUAUAUUAUCUAAAAAAUUUAUUAUAUAACAUAUUAUCCAAUAAAAUAUUUAUUAUAUAAAAUAUUAUCUAAAAAAUUAUAUUAUUUAAUAUUAUUAUAUUUAUUCAUUAUUUAUUUAUUAUAAAUAUUUAAAUUUUAAAAAUAAAUUGAAAUGAAAUCAGUUUCUGCGUAAUAUUUCUAUAGGAGCCUUUGUAUAAUAAAGGGGCGCAUAGAACAUCUAUGCACAAUGACCGCAUAGAUGUUCUAUGCGCCUAUCAAUUUAAAUACCCAACCACCCUUUCUCUCUCUCUCCAAAACCUUCCGUCGCUUCACCACCCCCUAUCCCUCCCCCUCCCACCCAACCCCAGUGGUCGCUCACCUCCCGAUCUCUCAUCCACCGCCAUUUGUCCCCUCUCUGCCGCUUCUCCUCCUACCCUCACCCUCGACGCUUCUCCCGACCCCACCCCCUCUCCCUCUCCAGAAGCUUCCACCGCUCCAAACCCUACCCUCCCUCCCAACCCCCCCUCCCUGACGGCCACUCACAUCCCAAUCUCUCACCUGCCUCCGUUUGUCCCCUCUCCAUCGCUCACCUCCGCUGCUCCUGUCCUCCCCACCUCACCCUCCCUCUCUCUCUCUCCAGAAGCUUCCAUCGAUCUAAACCCCAACUCUCACUCCCCAACCCCCCCGCAGCCAUUCGCAUCCCGAUCCCUCGCCCUCCGCCAUUCAUCCCUUAUACGCAGCUUCUCCUCCCGCUCUCACCUCCGGUGCUCCUUUCCACCACCGCUAUCGGCUCGCCCCCACUAUGUGCCGAUUUCAACGAUCGAGGACUCGCAUCGAAGGCGCUAAAGUCCACGACCGUGGAUCCAUCUCUCACUAUGCCGUUGAGGAAGGCCGCUAUCCGCAAGUUGCGUCGGUGCUAACUUGUCGUCACCGGUGCUAUCUUUUUUCCUAUUCCUUUUCCUCAUUCGUCGAUCCAUCCCCCAAAUCCUUUUUUUUUCCUUCUUUCCUUUUCCCUCCCUUCUUCCUCUCCCAGCCCUCACCUCAUCUUCCCCACACCCGCAACCCCAACCCGAUCUGUCCCCCAAAACCCUUUUUGUUUUCUUCUUUCCUUUUCCCUCACUUCUUCCUCUCCCAACCCUCACCUCGCCGAUCCCUCGCUUCUUCCUCUCUUUUUUUUUAUUUUUACUAUCCCUAUCUCUAUUCUCUGUCAGGCUCCUCCGUCGCCACUCCUAUCUCCAAAACCCCAACCAUAACCCUAGCCGAAGCCCCAAUGCUAACCCUAAUCCUUACAAAACCACAUCCCCCUCUAAACCCUAACCCUAAUUUGGAUCCUACGCAUCCCCCUCACCAUUCCCAUCUACAAAACCCCAAAUCUUAGCACUAACCCAAAGCUCGAUGCCGACCCCAUCCCUCCCAAUCGCUAUCCUCAUCUGAACCCUAACCCUAAUUUGGGUCCUACUCAUCCCAACCCUAAGCCUCAGACGUCCCGAUGCCUCCCUCCAAAACCCUAACACCACCUGCAACCUAAACCCCAACCCAUCACCAUCUCAACCCUCUUCGACCAAACCCUAAUCCUUCCCCACACCGCCUGUCAAUUCACCGAUUGCCACCCCGAUUCUACUAUCCUGGACCCUCGCCGCACGUCGCCCUCAACAUCCUUCGGUGUUUCCUGUCCACCGAUGAGAUCCUAACCCAAAUCCUAACUCAAGCACCCUGAUGCUGAUGCCUAUCGAGACCCAACCCUAAUCGUAAGCCCGGACCAAACCCUAAACUCCAACUCUCAGCCCAUAGUGAAUCCUAUCCAAAAAAAUCUGGCUCAACCCAACCAUCAUCCCAAAUCAACCUAUCUAAUGCCGACUAUGAGCAGGAACAAACCCGACCCUGAGCCCAGAUCAGAUCCUAUCGAAAAAUGCAGGCUGAUCCAACUACCAAUCUAAUCCCAAGCCACCUGCUCCUGACCCUGAUCAAGAUCCUAACCCUGACCCUAAAUAUUUUAACCGCAAUCCAAUCAAUCCAAUAACUAAUAAACCAUCAUCUGAUAGCCCAAUAGCCCAAUAACCCAGUAAAUCAUGAUCCAAUAGCCCAAACCCAUGGGAAAAACCGGAUUCUUCGAACCACACCCAUUUUCCAAAUUCACCCUAUCUGCCCGGACCCAUUCAGCCGGUUUGCCCGAACCCAUGAUCCGAUCUGGAGAAAAAAGGGACUGGGGGGUUGAAGUCCAGCAAUCGUCCCGACCCUUGCCAUCCUUUCCUUAGUGUCACCAUGGAUGCCUAGUAAAGCACCAUCCAUGGUGAUUUCUGAAAAUUGGAGGCUGCCGCAGGCAGUAACCUUUCCAACUUGAGAUCAACAGUGGUUUUUACAACCACGUUGAUCAUGAUAAUCCUUUACCCAAAUGAUGUGGCAGGGGAACAGGAAGGCUGCCAAAUGAUGCAGCAACCCCCCGUUGCUCUGAUAUUGAAAAGGAAAUGAGGCACCCCUUGCUCUGGAAGAGGAAGGCUGCCACAGCAACCCCCCAUUGCUCUGAUGCUAUUUAGAAAGAAAACAAAUUUAUCGAAUCCUCUCUUCUUCCUCAGAUGAUGCAGUAAGGGGUUCGGAUGGCUGUAGCACACCUAUAACAACCAUCCCAAUUAGUCUGAUGAGAUUGUAGAAUGUGAGGAUAUAGAUCUAUUGUACGUUUAAAAAAAAAACUCACCACUGAAAAUCUUCUUCCACGCACGGUUGCCUCCUGUCAUCUGGAGGAGAAAAUAUAUAUAGAUCCUCUCUGUCUUCCUCUACUGACCCAUCCCUUUCAUCAUCUCUCCGUGACUCUCUGUAACUCCCCAUCAAAAUCACCAUCAGCCUGCUAAAUCGAUCUAUUGUUCUUUUCAACCAUCUAUUAUCCAGCAGUUUGGAUCUACGAUUCAGGUGGAAUCACCAGAAGAUCCCAUCUCCCUCUUAAACUGCUCUCUGUGGCCCAGCAAAUGGGUUCUGCUAUCGUGUAAGUAGAUUUCAAGCAUGUGAUUCUGGUGUAAUUUUUUUUCUUUUAAUAUAUCAGUCCUUAAUUGGAUCCGAUGGCAUACCCCCUCGCCCCGACGGCCAACGUUAUUAAUAUGAAUUUAUUGGAAUCAGACGGCAGACAGGAUCAACAAGUUGCCUCUGCCACCAGCAUGCGAAUUUGACUGUUUUUUUUUAUCAUUUUAUUUUCAUUGUGUGACAUUUUAAAUAUUAUCCUCAUUCUCUGUUUUAGGCUCAUUUAUUGUUUCACAUUUUAAAUAUUAUCAUCCGACGGCAGACAGAACCGGCAAUUUGCCUCUACCACCAUCAUGUGAAUAUGAUUGAUUUUUUAUUAAUAUUAUCCUCAUUCCCUGUUUUGGAAUCAUUUAUUGUUUGACAUUUUAAAUAUUAUCCCCAAGCAAUGGCAUCUGUCAUUUUAAACAUAAAACAAAAGAACCAUUAGAUGGUUGACACAUGGCAGACAGGUAGGACAACACGUGGAAUGCUGAAUGCAUGACACUUGUCGCACUGGGAAAGCACUGGCUUCCCUUUUAAUGUAUUGUAUAGAUUUUGGUACGUUGUAGUGGAACUCAGAUGGAAGAUCCCUUUUGGGGUGUGGAUUAAGCUAUUGUCUCAUGAGAUUGGCCAUGUUUAGCUGUAAAAUUACAGGUUCGAGUUGUAUCUUUCACGGGAAGGAAUGACUGAUCUUCUUUUGUGGUGUCAACCAUUAGAUUGCACUAUUGACAGAUCUCAAAGUACUCCAAACCCCCUUCAUUCAUCUGCCUGCAUGGAUCUUGAAGCGACCAUUGCACGAUCUAACGGUGGAUUCAUGUAAAGGAAGGGGAAUCCUUCUUUAGCAUGAAAGAUAUGGCCCCUACGCUAAAAUUAGUAGGUUCAGGAAUCUCGAUAGGAUAUAGCUCCAUUUUUUAUAUUAAUAUUGAUGUAAUUAUCUGAAGUAUGAUUAUUUUGUUUUUUUUUUUCUUGGCUUGGGUAGAACCAUUUACACAAUUUGGGGCAGCUGAACAGUGGUAAAUUUUGGUUGGAUGUGGUAGAAUAGAGAUGAAAGAUCCCUGAUACUUUGGAGCUGGAACCCUUGUUUGAAUGGAAGUGGCCCUACUUAGCCUUAAACGGGAAUCUCAAUAUGCUAUGCAUACAUCGGUAUGUAAGGAUUGGAUUAAAUAUUUCCAAAGUGUGGUAGAGGUAUUGUCUCUUGAUUUAUAUUUACCACUAUAUAAGGAUUGGAUUAAAUAAGUCCCAAGAGUGACAGUCAUCCUGUUUUCUGAUUUUAAAAUUCACCUUUGAAUAAAAGGUAGGAACAGCUAUAUAAUCUCUUGAGGAAGCACACCUUAUUUAAAGUAGGGUUCAAUUUUCUCCUAGUCUGAGAAGGUUGACGGUCUCCACUUCAGAAUAUUUGGCCUCAAGUUGGUAUGCUUGUUGCUAUCCACCCAAUAGUACCAUGUUACACCUUGAUUGAAAUAGGAUCGCUAGCAAACUUGUGUUCUUUGCUGCAAGAAUUGACAUGAAACAAGGAAGCUAGGAAACAUGAGGUCUCUUUCUUUCAUUCAUUAUCUUUUUGUAAUUUUACUAUGUACCUCUUCUAUGAUGUUAAAGAACCAUCAAAUAGUCCAUAAACAGGGAGUGUAUUGAAUUGUUAAAGUUAAUCCUGGAGAAGUGCAUUGUAGAGAAACUCUUUUGUGUAUGUUAUUGUCUUGGCAAGGUUCAUAUAUACAUGGUGAUUAUAAUAACAAAGGGGCAACUUAAUACCUAACGCAUUCAAUAUGCAAUAUGCACAACACUUAGUACUCUAACAUCUUGAUGGGUCAUGGAUCGAGACUUUGUAAAUAAGAUGAGAGUGUUGACCUCUCGUCCAAGGCUUUGUAAGUAAAUCAAGUGGCUAAAUCUUUGUAGGAAAAUAGUGAAGAGAAAGUAUUGUGAUAAGAUGAUAAUGAUGAUGAUGACGAGUAAAGAAAAGCAUCAACAUCAAUAUGCUUGGUGAGCUCAUGGUUAUUGGGGUUGUGGCAAUUUGAAUGGUAUUAGUAUUAUUACAAUGAAGUGGAGGUGUCCUAGAAAUGAUGGCACCCACAUAAUCAAGAAGAUAAUGAAGCCAAAUAAUCUUAACAAUGUUAGCAGCCAUAGCCAUAGCUUGUAGCUCAGUUUCACUAGAUGAGUGGGCGAUAGUAUCUUGGUUCUUGUAUUUAUGAUAAAGGCCCAAGAAAUAUAGACUAACCAAUGAUGGAAUGAUGAUGAAUUGAAUCAUUUGCGUAUGUAGCAUGGAGAAGGCAUGGAGACGAAGAUGGGAGAUGAUCCAAUUAGAGAGAAGGAAAAAUUCUCUCAAUCUGCUUAACUCAAAUCUAUUAAAAGAAAUUAAGAAAAAAGAUUAAAAAAUUAUGAAAGUAGGGUUUACAUUCGCUUUUCUUUCAUUCAUGAUAUUAAAACUGAGGUACAUAGCUUCUAUUUAUAAUGGCGGAAUCCAUCUUUACAUAAUUCAGAUUAGAUUUCUCUUUAGUUCUAAUAGGACUCACUUUCUUAAAAUAGACAUGACUAUAGAAAUAAAUUUAAAAAGCUAAAAUUUUACAAGAGGCAGACCUUAAUUUCUACAUUAACUUUGCCUUCCGAUAUUCUGCGAAAUUCUUCUCAGAUUAGGGGAUAAUCUGGUCAAAGUGUUUCUUUUAAAGGGAAUUUUUUGCUGGACUGGUCAACUUUAGGAUCCAAAUUACGGAAUUUAGGUCUGAUCGCUAGGGUUGCGGUCCUCCUUUAGAGGUGGUGUUACAUCAUAGAGUGUGAAAAGUUACUGAUUUUUUUUAAAAAAAUAUCUCACUUGGGUGACAUAUGAUUAGGUUAUGGUCUUUGGAAGUUUGGCUCAUGAUUUGGUUUUCCGAUAUAGUGGAUCUCGCUCUUGGACCAUCUAGCCCUAUUCAUAGUGGCCGAAGUGGUUCACAUCAAGUCCGGUGAAUCUUUUGGAUCAGGAGUUGAAGAAAAGCAAUGCUUAUAAAGUAGUACAUUGGAAAUAAUUAACCAGUUAGAUUAGCAUAAUGAACUAAUAUCAAUGCUAAGAAAAGUGGCGAAGCAUUUGCAGCAUAAGGAAUAUCCUAUUUGAAAAUAGUGAAAUAGACAAGACUACUACUAGGUGUUUGGCAAGUAGGAUCAAUGAGAGGUAUGUCACCCCGUGUUGUAACUUAUGAUGAAACUCUAAUGGAGAAUCCAAAAUAAUUAAUCAAGCUAACUUUAGAAAGCAAGUCAAAAAUGUAAUUUUGCUGAUAUAACCUUUAGGGCUGUAGGCAAUCUCAAUCCUCAAAAAAAUACUGAAGUGGAACAAGAUUAUUCAUGGAGAACAACGAAGAUGUUGCUUGAAAAUAUGAUGUAUGCAAAUGGUUGAGUGAAACCAAUGGAAAGAACAAUGAUUGAAUUGCUCCAUAACUUUUGACCAAUAACACCAUUCACCCAGCGAAGCUAGGAGAAGAGAGACGGGAAUGUCUUUUAUGAGGCAAGAAAGUCAUGAGACAUGUAUUCACCACUCAAGUCAAGAAAAGUCUUAAUGCGUUUGGAAAAUUGUGUGUGAAACAUAGCAAAAAUUUUUAUAUAUUGUAUGCAACGAAGUGCAAUAGUUCACAAAUUAAACCUAUGUUAGGUGAGAAUAAUCAUCAAAAUAAAUGAUAUAAUACCUAUUUCCAUCUAUAGGUACAAAAGGAGCAUGAUGCCACAUAGUUGGAUGAACUAAGUCCAAGGGUGAAAAAGAUCAUAGAAUUAUCAGAGGGGAAGAGAAAUUUCAUAUGCUUAUCAAGAAUACAACGUUUAAAGGAUGACAUAUGUAAAUUAGAAAAGACAGUCUAAUACACCAAUAUCAACUAAAAUAGCAAGACAAGAAUGGCAAAGAUGACCAAGACGAUGAUGAUACAUCUUAGAAUUGGAGGAAGCAACUCUUAUAAAAUCUAAGCAUUGGAGAAUUAGGUGUAUCCAAGUGGUCCAUCAAACAUACUCCAUUAUGGCAAUAGCCAAAACAAGAUAGAAGGAACAUUAAAAUGAGUGACUUUAAGAUCAACCCUACUGAGAUGUUUGUAAAAGCAUGCCAUCAGCUGUAAUGAUAUGAGGCUGCACACAAGGAGGUGAGCAUGGACAAGAAGAGAAGCAUGCAGGAUCACAUGUAAUGGGAAAAGAAAAAAAAAUUCAAGAUACGAAGUUGUACUCGUGGAGCACGAAUAGAGUUGAAGAGGCAUGACCAUGGAUGAAGAGCUAGUACUGGUGUUGUGGUGUUGUUGAUAAAUUUUCUGGGAAGGUUGAUCAAUAAACUUCGAAGAAAAUAUAAACUGGAUCAAGGUAGCGCCACAACUAGCAUUAGAAGAAGAAUCAAGUAGCAGUAGUUGGCUUUGUGGCAAUAGCAGCCGUAGUUUAUUGGGGAAAUGGUGGUCUAGUGUUGUACUCCUUGACAGUAUGUCUGGUGCUUCGAUUAUAAUAGCAGAACUUCCUCCUCACGGCAUUAAGAGGGAGGAGGAUGGGCAUUAAUGCUAGUAUGCUGAGUUCUAUAUGCUGCAAAAAUAGAUGUAGGCUCCCUAGACUAAGACCAUAGGAUGUACAGGUGUGUCUCUCCUCAGCCAUCAAGUCAAAGUGACAACAAGAGUAGGAAGUGGAGUAUCAUAUAGCGGUUGGCAACAAAUGGUUUUGAAUGUAGGUUGAAGAGAUAUGAAGAUCUGAAGAAAAAACUGCUGAUUAAGAGCUUUCUCUUUGCUUUGGAUUGUUCUAAGCAACUGGAGCAUUAAUUUUGCUAUCAAAAGUGAAGUUGAUGCCUGAGUUCCUGCAUAUAGUUAUGGAGCUCUAAUAUGAAGUGAUGCUGCUGACAAGCGAUAAAAAGCUCCUAACAAAUGGAACAUACGGUAAAGAACUCCUAAAAAAUGGAACCCACAAGAACUUGAGUUUUUGUUUCAUGUCAAUCACAAAAAUCAUCCCACGAACUCAUGGUUGUGAUGUUCUAUCCUUAUAUAUGAUGUAGGAUCUAAAAUAUUAUGGUAAGUGUGACUGCUUGAGAAAUGGCAGCUAUAUAACAUGAUCAGGUACAGACGAAGCAAGUAGAAGCUUGGGAUCUUAACCAUUUGCAGGACAAGAUUUGAUCCUGUUUAUAUGCCUCCAGAGCUACCAAAGCUGAAUAGAUGUUUAUAUUUACAAUGAUAGUGGGGUUAAGAGAAGCUAUGACUUUUUAAGGGGCAUGUGAGUGAGUUGGAAUAAGUGCCUAAAGGAGUUGAAGAUAUAGACUAUACAUUUAUGUUGGUCUAAGGAUCAAAAAUCACAAGGUGAAUGCUUGUUUGAUGAGGGUUUGGUAUGUGACUCAGUGCUUGCAACUCGAGAAGAUUUAAGCACUGGAUGAUAGACUAAGAUUGCGCAAAGUUUGGCUUAGCUGUGAGAUGAUUAUUGUUGUGUAGCAUGUGAGAUUGCUUUUCGCGAAAUAGAGACAAGCACUGAACAUAUGUUGUGCCUGAGAAGUUUGAGAAUUCGAGUACUGGAUGGAUGCCAGAUGCUGUUAUGAUCAUAACCAGCAAUCCUUUUGGUAGCUGACUUUUGCCUUGGUUGGCUGUGAGUUGUUGUGUUUGCUGGUUGCAGUGCCGAGCGGAGGAUGGCUGGCUACAAGAUUCCUGGCUGUAAGAUAUUUGUUCAUGGAAAUUUAUAGGCAAUUGCUGCAUGUUUGGUUGAUAGUUUAUAGGACCUUGCAGAAGGCUAUGAAAUGCAACAGCUCUAAGACAAAAACUUAUCCAAGCAUUUCUCAAACAUGGAGGCUACAGCUACUGUGCUACCUGCUUGCUUCCUGUGAAAUAUAUUUGGUGCCAACCUUCUAGAAGGACUUAUUUGGAUUGUGGUAGGAGGUACCUACAACUAACUAGACUCGAGGACUACUGCUUGUCUAUGAGGCUGACCACCGUCACUUGUUGUGCAAACUUAUUCUAGCAUGUGUAUGGAUACUGGUGAUGGUCAAACUAAGGGCUCAACUGGGCAAAUAAUUGAACACUUGGCAGGCAGUGUAGUAUGUAUGCAUUCGGAACAAAACAACACUGUAUUGGAGUUAGCGCGGCAACAGAGGUAAUGGGUCUAAUAUUAAGUGAAGUACAUUCACAUCUUGGUUCUGCGUGAGGAUAUCUAGUCUUAUGUAAUGCAGACUUAGAUUGGGAAAGCAAGGGAAACAAAAGGCAAACAUCCUUGUGAUCGAAUUGGCACACUACAAGUUGGUGCGGACACCAGAGCCAUCAGAAGUCGGCGACAUGAUUUAGAUUCAAUUUGGAUCGAAGAAGUCCCAUUAGAUUGAUUCUACUUCAGUUUUUUAUUUUCAGUCAAUAAGUUUUUAAUGCAUUUAGUUUUGGGUCCAUAGGGCCAUAGUUGGGUUUGUCCACGUCACUUUUGGAGCCACCACUCUCCACAUGCCCAG